UACGGAGGGUGCAAACGUUGCUCGGAAUCAUUGGGCGUAAAGCGCACGUAGGCGGCUCGUUAAGUCGGAUGUGAAAGCCCUCGGCUCAACCGAGGAAGUGCAUACGAAACUGGCGAGCUUGAAUAUGGAAGAGGGUCGCGGAAUUCCCGGUGUAGAGGUGAAAUUCGUAGAUAUCGGGGAGGAACACCAGUGGCGAAGGCGGCGACCUGGGCCAAUAUUGACGCUGAGGUGCGAAAGCGUGGGGAGCAAACAGG
rnacentral:rRNA from 1 species